rnacentral:rRNA from 1 species
UACGAAGGGGGCUAGCGUUGUUCGGAUUUACUGGGCGUAAAGCGCACGUAGGCGGAUUGUUAAGUCAGGGGUGAAAUCCCAGAGCUCAACUCCAGAACUGCCUUUGAUACUGAGGAUCUUGAGUUCGGGAGAGGUGAGUGGAACUGCGAGUGUAGAGGUGAAAUUCGUAGAUAUUCGCAAGAACACCAGUGGCGAAGGCGGCUCACUGGCCCGAUACUGACGCUGAGGCACGAAAGCGUGGGGAGCAAACAGG